rnacentral:rRNA from 1 species
UGUAAGCGUAUACCAAAGUUGUUGCAGUUAAAACGCUCGUAGUCGGAAUUUGGCAGUUCCGGAUGUGUGCACGUCGUGUGCGCACUUCGCGGGGAUUGCUUUUGUGGUCUUGCGUAGGAUGAGGCACUUUUAUUAGUGAACGUCCUCACGCAACCACUUUUUACUGUGAGAAAAUCAGAGUGCUCAAAGCAGGCUUUUGCCGUGAAUGUAUUAGCAUGGAAUAAUAGAAUAGGACUUGGUUCUAUUUUGUUGGUUUGUUGGGACUGAGUAAUGAUUAAGAGGGACAGUUGGGGGCAUUUGUAUUUCGGUGCUAGAGGUGAAAUUCUUAGAUUACCGAAAGACAAACUGCUGCGAAAGCGUCUGCCAAGGAUGUUUUCAUUGA